UUAAAAAAGUAAAUAAAAUACAAGGGAAAUAACUGAACGUCUUACCAGUAUUAUCCGUACUACUUUGUUUAUAAAUAAAUCACGUGAUUUGAUUGACGUUAACUGUUUAUAUAUAAAUCACACACGUGAUUGAAUAUCAUAGUUUCUUAUGAGACAUUGAAAAUGCCUCGUGGAAGACCGGCUGCACAACAUCUAACCCUAACCCUAAACUUCUAUAAAAAAAAAUUCCGUCGCAUGCUGUUUUAGAGAAAAAGUAGUACGGAUAAUACUGGUUCUGUCUUUUGUUUGGAUUUUGUGGUGUCUGAUGCAGUCUGUGGAUUUUCUCGUGUUGCCACUGGAAGCAAAUCACCCCAUUUACAACAAGAUGCACAUUUAUAAGCUUCCCUGAAAGUAAAAGAAUUUUAUUAUUAAAGCAUAAGAAAAAGAAGUUUAAAAUAAGAUUGUGUAAAAAAAAAAAAAAAAAAGAAAAUUACAGGUGUACAGACACCUUAACGAUCAUUGAAGAAAUUAAUAAUGUUAUGUCAUAUUGGUUCUAAAUUUUGGUAAAAGGCCAGCAAUUUCGAGGGAUUACAUCAACCUCAGCAUGCAACUGGUACUUAUUUUAUUGAACCUGAAAAGAUGAAAAGCAAAGGUGACCUUGGCAGAAUUUGAACUGAGAAUGUAAAGACAAAUGAAAUGCUUCUAAGAAUUUCACCCAGAGUGCUAAUGAUUCUGCCAGUUCACCACCUUAAAAGAUAUACUAAUAAGAACAUGUCAUUUUGGUGUAUUACGCUUUUGAAAACAAUCACAAGGCUUAUGUUUUUUGUUCAUACCAUCCUGUUCUGUAAUUCAUAACAAUAAAAUAGACAGGAAUCUUGAAACAUGGAACUCAGAGCAGUAAUAAAAUUGCUUUUAUCUGCAAAACUAAUAAAUUGUUCCAACACCAAAGUUUUAGAUGUGUUGAGUGAAAAUUGUUCAACUCUUCAGAAUUUAUUGAAAUUUCAGAAUUUGAACAAAUAUAAUCAAGAUGGGCAAAAUUUUACAAUGGCACAAUAUGAAUAAUUCCAAAACUUGGCACAUAGCCACACAUUUUAGGAGACAUGGUCCCUUCAAUAUAAUCAACUUGAUUAUUCCAAAAAAUAAAAUCCAAGUUCAUUCUUGGAAUGAUUGAACUAAAGGGACAGAACAACAGGCAUUUUGUCUAACUGAUUCUGUUGUCAUUCACUGUUGUCAAUGGCAACAUAAUGAUUUCAGAUAUCUUGGAACAAAAUAACCAUUUCAAAUUUCAAGCACAAUGCCAGCAAAAUUUAGGGGACCCUGAAAGGAUGAAAGGCAAAGUGGAUCUCAGCAGCAUUUGAACUCAGAAUGUAAAAAGAAGCAAAAUGCCAGUAAGCAUUUUGUCCAACUAACGAUUCUGCCAGCUUGCCAUUUUAUCUAGGAACAUCAUGAAAAAGAGACUUCAGUUGAGGACUUCCUAAACUAAUAGAUGAAUAUAAUUUUUACCACUUUAAAUGAUGACUGUGAAAUCAUUCAACUGAAAUCUCUCUGCUCUCCAACCAGCCCCAAUGAAGGUAGGUAUUUGUGCCCACAACUACAUGGGUGUUUAAAAAAACAUUAGUGAAACACACUGUACAUACUGAUACCAAGUCAUAUUUGGUUGUGAGAGACAAACACAUAUAUUAAAUCAAUGACUUACUUUCCAUGUUUCUUCACUGUAAGGAAAGAAUGUUCAAUUUCUCCAUUUGGACAACAAGUUUUUAAAUGUAUAUGUUUUGAAUGUUUACGAGGGGUCUGUAGAACUCGAGGCCAGUUGGUACCUAAAACUUGAAGAACAACAAAAAUAGAACCUGAAUUAAUUAGAAAAAUUACCUCAAGUAAGCUAAUAAAUUCUCUUUUUUUCUGAGCACA